rnacentral:rRNA from 1 species
GAUCCUACGGGCGGCAGCAGUGGGGAAUUUUGGACAAUGGGCGCAAGCCUGAUCCAGCCAUGCCGCGUGAGUGAAGAAGGCCUUCGGGUUGUAAAGCUCUUUCGGACGGGAAGAAAUCGCAUGGGUUAAUACCCUGUGCGGAUGACGGUACCGUAAUAAGAAGCACCGGCUAACUACGUGCCAGCAGCCGCGGUAAUACGUAGGGUGCGAGCGUUAAUCGGAAUUACUGGGCGUAAAGCGUGCGCAGGCGGUUUUUUAAGAUAGGCGUGAAAUCCCCGGGCUUAACCUGGGAACUGCGCUUAUGACUGGAAGACUAGAGUACGGCAGAGGGGGGUGGAAUUCCACGUGUAGCAGUGAAAUGCGUAGAGAUGUGGAGGAACACCGAUGGCGAAGGCAGCCCCCUGGGCCGAUACUGACGCUCAUGCACGAAAGCGUGGGGAGCAAACAGGAUUAGAUACCCUUGUAGUCGA